CAAUGUAAGGUAUGAUCUAUCCAUUACUCUCUAUGUUAUUCAACACUAAUAACCAUGAAAGCAUGUGAAAGCUACAAUGUUGAAACAAUACUCUUUAAUUUUGAGUCAUUCUGUGGUAGUCUGAUUUGAAUUAAAAUCUAUCAAACUUUAUCAUGGGUGAAGUCUGAGUAGUCCAUGGAUCAAGUAAAGAAAAAUUAGUAAUGUAUUAUUGAUGAAAAUGCCCUGAGAAUCAUACUUACAUUAAGAGCAUACAAAAUGUUUGAUAAAAUGCUGAAAUGAGGCCUGAAGUUGAAAAUGCCAGGCGAAGGUCAGUGCGAUGGAC
rnacentral:lncRNA from 1 species